rnacentral:SRP_RNA from 1 species
GCCGAGUGUGAUGGUGCACACCUGUAGUCCCAGCUACUCAGGAGGCUGAGGCAAGAGGAUCACUUGAGCCCAGGAGUUCUGGGCAAUAGUGCACUAUGCCGAUUGAGUGUCCACACUAAGUUUGGCAUUGAUGUGGUGACUUCCUGAGGGCAGGGCAGCACCAGACUGCCUAAGGAGGGUUGAACCAGCCCAGGUCAGAAAUGGAGCAGGUCAAAAUUCCCAUGCUUGAUCAGUAGUGGGAUUGUGCCUGUGAAUAGCCACUGCACUCCAGCCUGGGCAACAUGGAAAGACCCUAUCUCU